UACGAGUUGUGCAAACGUUAUUCGGAAUCACUGGGCUUAAAGGGUGCGUAGGCGGCUACGAAAGUCAGGUGUGAAAUCCCACGGCUCAACCGUGGAACUGCGCUUGAAACUGUGUAGCUGGAGGGAGACAGAGGUGAGCGGAACUGAUGGUGGAGCGGUGAAAUGCGUUGAUAUCAUCAGGAACACCGGUGGCGAAAGCGGCUCACUGGGUCUUUUCUGACGCUGAUGCACGAAAGCCAGGGGAGCAAACGGGAUUAGAAACCCCCGUAGUCC
rnacentral:rRNA from 1 species